rnacentral:miRNA from 1 species
AUGCUUUCAAGGGAUUAGAGGUUC